UACAGAGGUCCCAAGCGUUGUUCGGAUUCACUGGGCGUGAGGGGUGCGUAGGCGGUCUGGUAAGUCUGAUGUGAAAUCUCACAGCUUAACUGUGAAACUGCAUUGGAUACUAUUCGGCUAGAGAGUUGGAGGGGGGACUGGAAUUCUCGGUGUAGCAGUGAAAUGCGUAGAUAUCGAGAGGAACACCAGUGGCGAAGGCGAGUCCCUGGACAACUUCUGACGCUGAGGCGCGAAAGCGAGGGGAGCAAACAGG
rnacentral:rRNA from 1 species